rnacentral:sRNA from 1 species
CAUUGGUCGAGAGCUGGCAUCGCUCACCCGAUGAGUCUAAGGCAGGACAAAACUAGUG